AAGUCGUAACAAGGUUUCCGUAGGUGAACCUGCGGAAGGAUCAUUAACACUGUUUCAUCACAGUUUUAAACUCAACAAUCGUGAACAGGUUCUUUCGGGAACCUCCCUCUCCCCUAUUUUUUUAUUAAAACCCCAAACACUUCACUUUAUCUUCCGCAAGGAAAUGAACUGAACAAAUACAAACAACGAAACGAAAUACGCCCUCAAAAAGCGUGCUUUGUGCUAGUUAAUGAAAUGCUGAACAACUCUUAACAACGGAUAUCUUGGUUCUC
rnacentral:misc_RNA from 1 species